GCCCGUGUGGUCUAGUGGUAUGAUUCAUCGUUCGGGUAAAAUCUGAACUCGAUGAGGUCCUGGAUUCGAAUUCCAGCCCGGGCC